rfam:Schistosoma haematobium scaffold288_7, whole genome shotgun sequence.
AUCAAGCUGACGAGUCCCAAAAAGGACGAAACGCGCACCCUUGAU